rnacentral:tRNA from 1 species
GGUGCUCCAGAGGGCGGAUCUGCCCGGCGGAUUCCGGCUCCGCCCGAUACGCGGGUGCGGGCGUUCCGCGCCGACCGAGGUUUCCC